GUCCGCGUAGCUCAGUUGGAUAGAGCAAUAGCCUCCUAAGCUAUCGGUCGUUGGUUCGAGUCCAAUCGCGGACGCCA
rnacentral:tRNA from 1 species